CUCUUACAGACCUCCCAGAGCUUCAUGCUAAGACCAGAGAGCACUGAGAUGCCAUAAUGCACAUCUUUGUUUUACAUGAAUCAAAUGGAUAUGGAAGAGCUGUCUUGCAACUGAGGCCAUGAUCAUAAGUGAGGUUAAUACAAGUCUCCAACUGUUAAGAAGUGAAGACUCCUGGAAAAUGGAGAAGAAUUUUCUCAUACUCUUUCAAAAUAAAAUUCACCUGUGUGGCCUUUAGAGACUCUAGUGCUUCAUUUCUUCAAUAUGGCUAGAAGUAUUUCAUCUUGUUUCUACAGAAUGAAGAGGAACCGGUAGAGAACCUCCCUUCCCACUAGACAAGGAUGACAAGUCCAUCAUCAUGCAUAUGUAUUAUUCUCAGCUGAAUUCUUUGUCUUUGGCAAUCAGACUAUGGUAAAUAAAAGGUAAUCUGUAAUGCUUCACAGCGUUUGCACUGAACUCAGCUGUUCAGAAAACAUGGUGUUGACAUGUGGCUAGGAAAUUCCCCCAUGGAGUGCACAACUGCAUACUGCUGGCUAAGACCACGCACCCUUAAAGUCAAAGAUGACUCUUCCAGCAAUAUCAAGGGGAGCUGGAAUGGUUCCCUUGGUCAGCAUACCCUGGCCUGCAAAACCAACAGUAUCUCUCACUGCUGCCACUUGUUUGGAAAAAUGAAAGGACUUCCAUUUCAUUUUGGAAAAUCCUCUUGCUAUUUGUGAAGAUUCAACCCCAAAACAACAAUUGAAUUGAGCUUGGCACCACACUAGUGAUGAAACUUACUUUGACAUCUGGGCUUGAACAAGACGUCUCCAGGA